AAUUAUCCAAAAUAGCCCAAUUUUAACAAAAAAGCCAUAUUUGGUGUAAUUUUCUCUAAACUUUUGUGAAAGAAAGAAAAGGUUCGAAGAAGUUCAAAAGGUCCAAAGAAGUUCUUCUCCUCUUCUUCAGGGUUCUACAUCUUUUGAUCGAGAUUAUGCAUUUCAAAACGAUUCCUCAUGCUGAUGGAAAAAAUUUUGAUAAAGAAAAUAAGGUUGAUAUGAUGUCUUGCGUUGAUGCUAUCCUGAUUUCUAGUAUAAGCCCGACUUCCAUGGAUAAUAAAGAGCACAAAGAUACUAAUGUGUCGCCGAUUGCAUUGCGAGUUCAACCCCCAUUUCUCCAAAAAAAAGAUUUCGAAAACCUAUGUUUCAAGAAACAAAAAGGGCUCUAAACCUGAUGAGCAACUGUGAAUUUCCGUUCAAUUACCCAUGUUGCAGUACCUGCAAUCCGUAUAACACGAUCACAAUCUAACAGCCCUUCUGAAAAUCGAAAUCAAAGUGAAGUUGAAGUUGUGACAGUGCCAAACAAAAGGCAUCGAACUGCUGUGGAUUACAAAGAGGUAGAUGAUUGCCCAACAAAAACGUUCGUGGAUACAAGUAGGAUUGGUCGACUUGACCAAAAGCCCUUCAGCUUCACCGUGCCUUCACGUCGCCUUCAGCCAUUCAACCGAAGUUUUGAUGACUCGGAUCUUGUAUCACAAGGGUUGUAGUGUGUGUAGGGAGCUGCUGCAGGUGUUGUUGCUGCUGGUUGUAGUGUAGGGAGCUGCUGCAGGUGUUGUUGCUGCUGGUUGUAGUGUGUGUAGGGAGCUGCUUGAGUGUGUUACAGCUUAUUGUUGCUGCUGGUUGGCUUAUUGUUGCUACUUGGUGUUGUAGUGUGUGUAGGGAGCUGCUGCAGGUGUUGUAGUGUGCUGUUGCUUGGUGUAUUGUUGCAGCUUAUGUUGUAUUGUUGUUAGUUGUUGUGUGUUGCAGCUGAACCAACACACCAUAUAAGACCUAACAAACAAGUUGUUGCAUUUUGUUAGCUUUCGGAGUUUUGCCAAAAAGCUGUGAAUCAGCUUCUGUGAAUGCUGAAGAUGUUGAAAAGGAAGUAAGUUGUGAUCCAGUUUGUUGGAAUUGUUGAUGCUGAAGAAGGUGCAACUUGUUGGAGAUAUGUUGCUGCUGAAGAGGUGCUGGAGAAUAGCCAUGUAGUGCUCUAACAACUUCAGAUUGGUUGUUGUUGACUUAAUCUGAAUUUGCUGCUGUUGGUUGUUGCUUGUUGUUGGCUCCAAGUAAAUUGCAUCCUCCAAGUUGCAAAACCAUUUUGAGUGCAUUAAUUUGGUGGUAGUCUCUGCUGUUGUUGUGUGAUGUUUCUGCAUAGGAGAAAAAUGGCUCCAGGUGUUGUGAUUGUCCUCCCCACAGCUGUAAGGUGAACUCUAAAGCCUCCAGUAAUCUGCAUUUUCAGAAAUUGUUGGAGCUGUGAAUUUGGUGCCUUGAGUUUCUGCACUUUGUUGGGGUUUUGUUGAUGUUGGAGAGGGACCAGGGCAUGUGCAACUACAGCUUGUUGGGAUUUGCUGCUCCAGUAACCUGCAUAAACACACAAACAAACAAAUAAACAAGAGCAAGGGCCUCCAAGAGCUAGAGUUGUAGUUGUUGGAAGUUGUUGUUGCUCCUCCAUGUUCAACUUCAGUUUGCAGAUUGUAGUUGUUGUUGUGUGAUGUUUGAUGUGAUAUUCUUGAUGAGCAGCUCCUUCCAGGGUGAUGUGAAUGCACCUUCCAUA